rnacentral:rRNA from 1 species
UACGGGGGGGGCAAGCGUUGUUCGGAAUUACUGGGCGUAAAGGGCUCGUAGGUGGCCAACUAAGUCAUACGUGAAAUCCCUCGGCUUAACCGGGGAACUGCGUCUGAUACUGGAUGGCUUGAGGUUGGGAGAGGGAUGCGGAAUUCCAGGUGUAGCGGUGAAAUGCGUAGAUAUCAGGAGGAACACCUGCGGUGUAGACGGCUUACUGGACCAUAACUGACGCUGAGGCACGAAAGCGUGGGUAGCAAACAGG